UACGGAAGGGGCUAGCGUUGUUCGGAAUUACUGGGCGUAAAGAGCGCGUAGGCGGCUUACCAAGUUGGGGGUGAAAUCCCGGAGCUCAACUCCGGAACUGCCUUCAAAACUGGUAGGCUCGAGUCCGGAAGAGGGGCGUGGAAUUCCCAGUGUAGAGGUGAAAUUCGUAGAUAUUGGGAAGAACACCGGUGGCGAAGGCGGCGCCCUGGUCCGGUACUGACGCUGAGGCGCGAAAGCUAGGGGAGCAAACGGG
rnacentral:rRNA from 1 species